rnacentral:lncRNA from 1 species
UAUCUACCAAAACUUAUAGAUGGUCUAUACACCAGGGAUCCAAUUCUCUUAAUUUUUGGCUGCUACUCCAUCUGUUGAAAAGGCUCAAACAUACUUUUUCAAAGGGUACAAGAUAGGAUUGAUACGAGGACCACCAGAAAACAUCCCAACUAGUAUAACAUGCAUAUAAGUUAAUUUCGAUAAAACCCAAGCAGUCUGCAUAAAAAUAAAAAAUUUAAGUUGGAUACCAGGGGAUCAUUAGGAUAGCUACUGCGAAAAAAGAACUUCAAAGAAAAAGAGACAAUCGUGGUAUGGUGUGUUGCGUCCUCUGCUUCUACUGUUAUAGCCUCACAAAUAUCGCACCUGUUGGUGCAAUAACAGAAAAUAAGAUGUAAGAAAUGAGCUCAACUCUCUAUCAUUGCCUGCAAAGCGACCAUAAGGCCAAUAGAUGUAAACAAAAUGUACGUAGAAUGGACUGAGGAGGUCCUGUAUUGACGGCUGCAAUUUCACAACACUUAAAGUCACCUCAUUUGAUGAAGAAAUUAUCGAAGAACUUACCAGAAAUCAUUUUCCUGUGUUUCCAUUCGUCAAGAGAAUCUUGGCGAAACCUUUUGAUGGCUG